rnacentral:rRNA from 1 species
UGGGGAAUUUUGGACAAUGGGCGAAAGCCUGAUCCAGCAAUGCCGCGUGCAGGAUGAAGGCCUUCGGGUUGUAAACUGCUUUUGUACGGAACGAAACGGCCUUUCCUAAUUAAGAGGGCUAAUGACUGUACCGUAAGAAUAAGCAACGGCUCACUACGUGCCAGCAGCCGCGGUAAUACGUAGGGUGCAAGCGUUAAUCGGAAUUACUGGGCGUAAAGCGUGCGCAGGCGGUUAUGUAAGACAGUUGUGAAAUCCCCGGGCUCAACCUGGGAAUUGCAUCUGUGACUGCAUAGCUAGAGUACGGUAGAGGGGGAUGGAAUUCCGCGUGUAGCAGUGAAAUGCGUAGAUAUGCGGAGGAACACCGAUGGCGAAGGCAAUCCCCUGGACCUGUACUGACGCUCAUGCACGAAAGCGUGGGGAGCAAAC